UACGUAGGGGGCAAGCGUUGUCCGGAUUUAUUGGGCGUAAAGAGCGUGUAGGCGCCAGGGAGGUCCGUUGUGAAAACUCGAGGCUCAACCUCGAGACGCCGAUGGAAACCCCCUGGCUAGAGUCCGGAAGAGGAGAGUGGAAUUCCUGGUGUAGCGGUGAAAUGCGCAGAUAUCAGGAAGAACACCCGUGGCUAAGGCGGCUCUCUAGUACGGUACUGACGCUGAGACGCGAAAGCGUGGGGAGCGAACAGGG
rnacentral:rRNA from 1 species